UAACACCGGCUCCCGUACGAUCACUGAAGUUAAGCAACAUCGAGCUUCGUCAGUACGUUGAUGGGUGACCGCUUGGGAAUACCAUGUGCUGUAAG